GGGGAAUAUUGGACAAUGGGCGCAAGCCUGAUCCAGCAAUGCCGCGUGUGUGAAGAAGGCCUUCGGGUUGUAAAGCACUUUUAUCAGGAACGAAAAGCGUUGGAUUAAUACUCUGACGUGCUGACGGUACCUGAGGAAUAAGCACCGGCUAACUUCGUGCCAGCAGCCGCGGUAAUACGAAGGGUGCAAGCGUUAAUCGGAAUUACUGGGCGUAAAGCGUGCGUAGAUGGUUCGCUAAGUCGGAUGUGAAAGCCCCGGGCUCAACCUGGGAACUGCAUCCGAUACUGGUGGACUAGAGUGUGAUAGAGGAUGGCGGAAUUCCCGGUGUAGCGGUGAAAUGCGUAGAGAUCGGGAGGAACAUCCGUGGCGAAGGCGGCCAUCUGGAUCAACACUGACGUUGAGGCACGAAAGCGUGGGGAGCAAAC
rnacentral:rRNA from 1 species